rnacentral:rRNA from 1 species
CCCUUAGAUGUCCUGGGCCGCACGCGCGUUACACUGAUGCAUUCAACGAGCUUAUAACCUUGGCCGAGAGGCCUGGGCAAUCUUGUUAACGUGCAUCGUGAUAGGGAUAGAUUAUUGAAAUUAUUAAUCUUGAACGAGGAAUUCCUGGUAAACGCAGAUCAUCAAUCUGCAUUGAUUACGUCCCUGCCCUUUGUACACACCGCCCGUCGCACCUACCGAUUGAAUGGUCCGGUGAAAUCUUCGGAUUGAGACUUUGAUUUCUUCACGGAAAACGCUGUUUUAAAAAGUUGAUUAAACCUUACCAUUUAGAGGAAGGUGAAGUCGUAACA